ACAAUAACCAAUGAGCCUCAAUACACGGUAUCCUCUCGGCGCCUCUUCGCUUCCUGCCAGUCCGGUGCGUGUUGGGAGUCCCGGCAGGGUGGGCGGGGCGUAACCAGCGUCUAUCACACAUUGCGAGCCCCAUGACAGGCGCCACACCUCACCUGCUCUCGAGAGCUACCGACGUGCCCUGCUGGUGGUCCUUUUGGUGUGUGCCUGCCUUCUGGCCUCUGCCGUGGCCUUCCCGCAGCCUGACCCUCUGCCAUCUUACCUAAACACUCUCUUAUUCUGAUGAUCCCUAUAAUGGAGUACACGGUGUUCAUAAGACAACUCAUUCUGUGAAUCUGUUCAUCGUGUUUACCAAAUGUUUGCCUCCUUUUUAAGCAGGAAGGAUGCGUGAGAUGCCAAGUCGUUCACUUUGACUAAUUCCUGUGUUGUCUCCCCAAACAGCCAACAGAUGCCUUUGCUAUACUUUCCCGUGUAACUGUGGAUGGGGCCGCACACCUCUUCGGUAAUGAGGAAAACGCCUGACCUCUGGAGCCUCUACAUGACCUGACCUGAACUCACCUGUUCUGAACCAACAAGCCUCAGGAUGAAAAAUAAAACAAAAUAGAGACUCUUCCUUCUCACUUCUCACUUGCAUUCACGCCUAAUAAAGCCUGCAAUAUCUGUU